UUGGUCAUUUAUUACAUAUGCACCUAUGCC
rnacentral:piRNA from 1 species